GGCCAGACUCCUACGGGAGGCAGCAGUGGGGGAUAUUGCACAAUGGGGGAAACCCUGAUGCAGCGACGCCGCGUGUGGGAAGACGGUCCUCUGGAUUGUAAACCACUGUCCCCAGGGACGAAAAUGACGGUACCUGGGGAGGAAGCUCCGGCUAACUACGUGCCAGCAGCCGCGGUAAUACGUAGGGAGCGAGCGUUGUCCGGAAUUACUGGGUGUAAAGGGAGCGUAGGCGGGGAUGCAAGUUGGGUGCCAAAACUGCCGACUCAACUGGUAGUCGCACUCAAAACUGCAGCUCUUGAGUGGAGUAGAGGCAGGCGGAAUUCCUAGUGUAGCGGUGAAAUGCGUAGAUAUUAGGAGGAACACCAGUGGCGAAGGCGGCCUGCUGGACAGUAACUGACGCUGAGGCGCGAAAGCGUGGGGAGCAAACAGGAUUAGAUCCCCGAGUA
rnacentral:rRNA from 1 species